CAGCUAGUUGGCGGGGUAAAAGCCCACCAAGGCGACGAUCCGUAGCUGGUCUGAGAGGACGGCCAGCCACACUGGAACUGAGACACGGUCCAGACUCCUACGGGAGGCAGCAGUGGGGAAUUUUGGACAAUGGGCGCAAGCCUGAUCCAGCCAUGCCGCGUGAGUGAAGAAGGCCUUCGGGUUGUAAAGCUCUUUCGGCGGGAACGAAAAGGUCCGUGUUAACACCAUGGAUCCAUGACGGUACCCGCAGAAGAAGCACCGGCUAACUACGUGCCAGCAGCCGCGGUAAUACGUAGGGUGCAGGCGUUAAUCGGAAUUACUGGGCGUAAAGCGUGCGCAGGCGGUUUGCUAAGACAGGUGUGAAAUCCCCGGGCUUAACCUGGGAACUGCGCUUGUUACUGGCAAGCUAGAGUGUGGCAGAGGGGGGUGGAAUUCCACGUGUAGCAGUGAAAUGCGUAGAGAUGUGGAGGAACACCGAUGGCGAAGGCAGCCCCCUGGGCUAACACUGACGCUCAUGCACGAAAGCGUGGGA
rnacentral:rRNA from 1 species